AGUGAACGCUGGCGGUAGGCCUAACACAUGCAAGUCGAACGGCAGCACAGUAAGAGCUUGCUCUUACGGGUGGCGAGUGGCGGACGGGUGAGGAAUACAUCGGAAUCUACUUUUUCGUGGGGGAUAACGUAGGGAAACUUACGCUAAUACCGCAUACGACCUACGGGUGAAAGCCGGGGAUCUUCGGACCUUGCGCGAUUGAAUGAGCCGAUGUCGGAUUAGCUAGUUGGCGGGGUAAAGGCCCACCAAGGCGACGAUCCGUAGCUGGUCUGAGAGGAUGAUCAGCCACACUGGAACUGAGACACGGUCCAGACUCCUACGGGAGGCAGCAGUGGGGAAUAUUGGACAAUGGGCGCAAGCCUGAUCCAGCCAUACCGCGUGGGUGAAGAAGGCCUUCGGGUUGUAAAGCCCUUUUGUUGGGAAAGAAAAGCAGCAGGUUAAUACCCCGCUGUUCCGACGGUACCCAAAGAAUAAGCACCGGCUAACUUCGUG
rnacentral:rRNA from 1 species